UCUCAUGAAGCUGAAAAAUUCACAUCCGUGUUCAUAGUUCACCGACCAUAUUUCCGUCACCCAGAGACAGCCGCCUUCUUUGCUCAACCACAAAUCAGCCACUACCACACAACCCCUCAUCCCAGCACACUGGAUCAAGACCCCAUGUUCAAAAAGGCUCUCAUGAAUCAUCUCCUGUCCUUAAAUCAUGUUCCUCCACCACCACAAGACAUCAUCUCCAGUUCCAUUGGACCUCGUCAUGACAUGUUCAUGGUACCUAAUCCUUCUGGUUCUAGCAAAGGUAUUAUUAUCAAAGAAGAACGUCCAGAUACUCCUCCACAGAUUUACUACCAGGAUUCUCAGGAUCCUGAAGAUGACUUUUUACCGCUCAGUCAACUCCUCCAAGAGUUUCAGACUCCACCAGAACAAGGCUAGUCAUCACGAGUCAUUUCACAAUCUGAGCCCAUCAUCACUCAUCCACCAUCACAAUGCAGAUCUCUCUGCAUUCCCGGGAUUGUCCAUGCUAAAGGAUGUCCUCAGUAUGAUGGCCCUACUUAUCUAGAACAGUGCACCUUAUUCUGUGAACCUCAUGGAGCCAAUUGCCACAAAAGCUGCGUCAACUACCGCAGAUUUGAAUCCAGCUCCAGCUCAGAUGAUUACGGGAUGAAUCUAUCCUCUCCGUAAUCUCCGCCGCAUGUCUUGUCUUUUAUGUAAAAGAUAAAGUUAGGGGGUCCUGUCCCUACUUUACUUUAUUAAAGUAGCUUUUAUGUCUUGUCUUUUUAUGUAAAAGAUAAAGUUAGGGGUCCCUAUCCCUACUUUACUUUAUUAAAGUAGCUUUUAUGUCUUGUCUUUUUAUGUAAAAGAUAAAGUUAGGGGUCCCUAUCCCUACUUUACUUUAUUAAAGUUGUUUGCUUUAUGAAAAGAUGAGGGUCCUGUCUCACUUUUCGAAAUUUGGCUUUCUCCCGUUGUAAUCCCUAUAUAAGGGAGCCUCCUCUUAGUUUUUCACUAAGUAAGAGGUGAGCCUUACAGUAAUAUAUUGAGUGUUCUAUUAUCCAUGUCUCUCUAAACUCCUCUUUCUUAAGUUCUAUGGAGCUCUGAAAUAGAUAAGAAAAAGAAUAAGGAAAAUUUUAAAAACGAGUUUGUUCAAAACCAAGUUAGUAUGCUCUACACUUGCCUUUGUAUGAAGGAUCCUGUGUAUCAGAACACUUGAGACGGUCUUUAGCUGUUUUCUUAUCUGGUUUGGUACCCGUUUUAAGCUAAGGAAAGCUGUUUUAGGGUUGUAUAACCUAGCAAAGAAAACUGGUUUGAAAAGUCUCAAGUUAAACGGAGUGGUAUCAGAGUUUGCUUUUUCUUUUCUAGUUUGGCGUGGUGUGCUUUAGUGCUUUCUUGCUUUCAUAAUUAUGUUUCUCCUUUUGUAAAAGA
rnacentral:lncRNA from 1 species